ensembl:lncRNA
GCAAGAAUACUGGAGUGGUUGCCAUUUCCUUCUCCAGGGGAUCUUCCCAACCCAGGGAUUGAACCCACAUCUCUUAUGUCUCCUGCAUUGGCAAGGAGGUUCUUUAUGCCACUAGGUCCACCUGGGAAGCCCACUAAAUGAGCUAAGACUGCGGCAAAUUAACCCAGGAAAGCACACGCAUUCCCUAAUUGGAGAGGCCUUCCGCAAACACCCUCAGAGGCCCAGGCGCAAGCUUCCGCCGCCAGUCUGUCCGCUCUCAGGCCGGGGUAGGGGGACACGCGCGAGGUUCGGCUGUGCCCACGGUCCAGCCACUGCACAAGCCGGCCGUCUCCCAGAGUUCUGAGUAAUCGCCGGAAGCCCGGCCAGAAUCAAAGCGGACGCGAAGCAUCCACCCAGCUGGAAGAGCCGCCGCCGCCGGGGAAGCAGGAAUCUCCCAGAUACCCAGUGUGGGGGCGCUCCCGAGCCCUCGGGGUCCCCCGGCGGCCUCCUGGAGCCUGGAGCUCAGGCGGAGAGAUGCAGGGACGGCGGGAGGCCGGAGGCAGCCGUGGUCAGGGAAGCGAGGGGACCAGAAGGACCACCGGAGGUGUCCGGGCGGAAGGGCCGCGGGGCUGGGGUCGCCCCGGUCCCCGCCGCACCCUGGGGACCCCGGCCCGCUUGGUUUGGGCCUCAAAGACCUCCACUGAUGAAUGCUCUCUGUGAAGCAAACUGCAUUUUUGCCUUCAACUUAUUAAAAAUGUUGGCUGAAGAGGACCACUCGUGACACGUGUUCUUCUCUCUGCUGAGCCUCUCCUUUGUCCUGACCAUGGUCUUAAUGGGGGCUGAGGGGAACACGGUGGCCCAGAUGUCCCAGGCAAGAAUACUGGAGUUCGUUGCCAUUUCCUUCUCCAGGAGAUCUUCCCGACCCAGGGAUUGAACUCAGGUCUCCUGCAUUGUAGGCAGACACUUUACCAUCUGAGCCACCAGGGAAAUGUGACCCUCAAAUAUAUGGCCAGCUGACUUUCAACCAGCAUCCUGAAAGGAUAGUCUUUUCAACAAGUGGUGGUGGAACAACUAGAGAGCCGAGCACCAAAGUUGUCUGGCCAUCUGGUCGACCUUUCGGCGGUGCUUGCCUGACUACAACCAAACAUGAACACAAAUCUGGAUCGCAGGGCAGAGAAGGCAGAGCACCACCACUCCGCACUCGUUUCUCUUACCUAAGUGUUCUCCCGUCCGCGCGCGUUCAGACGCCCUUCCAGGACUACACACCGCGCCAGGCUCGCGUCUCCUUGGUACCCUCAGUGGAGGGCCCGGGCCGUUUUCUGGAUCUCAAACAUUUGGCGCCUCUGACCACCGAUCCCGUGCAGGACUAAAGCCGCGCAUUGGGCCACCUCCUUGCUCGCCCACCGCGUUCCCUGUUGUCACCCGUGGCGAGGGACUCGUGUGUGGCUCACACAACUUUCGAGCCCGUAAGGGGAACAGAAGAGACUACAGGCGGCCCCCGCGAUGACGCAGCACGGCUUCCGACGAACGCAGAGCUUGAUACGACAGCGGCCGUCGGAGAGCAGCUCCCCCGCCGCCCAGCCCUGGUGCGGACCUGGGCCCCCAGGCGAUCAGGACGUGGGGUUGGGAGAGCCUAGCCUGGGGAUCGCGGUGCCGCUGGGAGGGCCGGGCGCGCAGCCCAGCGCCGCCUUGUUCCGCGUGUCCGGCCACGCUCCACUCCGGGGAAGACGCCCGGGAUCCAGGGACGGCCGGCGUGAACCCUGCGCCGUCCGCCGACGGAGACACGGCUACUCCCAGCCGAGGCGGGAAAACAAAAAAUACUGAUCCAGGACACCGCGCGGGGCACUUUACUCUCCUGGCUGCGAGCCGUACCCCAUGCAGCCCCGCGGGCGGAGGAAACGUCCGGAUCGCCGACUAGCUUCUAAAGACACGGCCCGUGCUCGCCACGCAAGCCUGACCGUUCGAGGGAGCAGGACGCGUCCAGGCCCGGAGACGGGGCCCAGGCGCGCCAGCCAACGAGCCCUGCGAGCCCAUACUCGUCCGGUCUGGCCAAGCACCAGAGCCUGGAGAGUGGGGACCCCGGAGGGAGACGAAGGCCCCUAACGGUGACCCAGGAGUUUGGCCGACGAGCCACAGGCACUCCGGCGCCGCAGACCCUUUCUCUGCUCGCUCCGAGGCCCCGCGGAUGUAAGGCCGCGAGGAGAUGCUGGUCGACCAGAGCGAGCGACAACCCGCCCUCAAAGGCCACAGCGCCAGGCCGCUUCACGAAAACCUGCAGACCCAGUCUUCAGCAGGAGCAGGCAUGCCCAGGUCUCCGCAGCACCAUGGUUAUUGCCACCAGUGCUGCCGGCCUCUGGAGCUCUGCGCCGUCUUCUCCGGCUGAGUCUCAGCCCUUAUGAAGGUCGCCGAAGGAAAGGAACGCUCUGAAAGCGGCCGCCAGGGGCGCCCGACAACCGGUUCGAGUGUCCUCAGGACGAGUUGCCGGCAGGCCGCAGCGGCGCCGAACGCCCUAACGCCCGAGCUCGCCCGGGGCCUCUGCCUCGGAGGGGGCUCCCCGCUCGGGACAGCGCGACGCGGCUUCGCGGAGCGGCCCAGGCGGCAGACGAGGGCGGGCGGAGAGCGGAAGGCUGCGGCGGAGAGGCCCUCCCCGCGAGACUGCAGGGCCGCAGGCCAACCUGAGCAAGGGAGAUUCUGCAGGGGGCUGGGCUGUGUGAACUGUGAGCUGGAACAGUGAAAGUAAAACAGAAAGCAAGCAAGCACGGAAGACAUCUUAUUCUGUCAUUUCAGAGUUGAGAUGUUACUCAAGUAUAAAAAUACAAGGCUCAGAAGCCAUAAAGGAAACGACUGAAAACUUGACUAUGUAAUUGGUCUUUUAGUCUUUACCAAGCAAAGGCAGGUGACAAGAAACGGGUGUGUGAGAACGUUUGUGCGACUACAUAUAUAUUAAGAACGUUGGUAUCAGCAUUACAUAAUAACAGAAUGUAGAAAACACGGCAAGGGACCAGUUAAGUAAAUUUUCAGUGCAUUCACAUAACACAAGACUAUCACUUUGCUUUUUGGUUUAUUGCUGUUGUUUAAAUGAGUUAGAUCCAUAGGUAUUGACUUGGAAAAAUGUCGAUGGCAAACUGUCAAAUGAAAACAAAGUUUUAGCACUUACUACUGGAAGUGCUUUUUAAAAAAUGAAGCGGAAAAAUGAAGAGUUAGAAUAGCUAAAGCGGUUUUAAAGAGCAAGAAUCAAGUCUGCCCUAUAGCCUGGUGUCUGGACAGAAAGACGUGCCAGAAACAAAGAUGGGCCACACUACGUGCUUCUCUGCUCCCUCCUACUAUAGUCUUGGGAAGGCAGCUGGCAUCUCAGCCCCUGCACCUCUCUGCUCCACUAACACUCAGAGCCCCUGCAGGCAAUCAGAACUCUGACUCUGCAGGCCUGGGGUCCCUAUGUCUACAGUCUCUUCCUUCAUGUCAGGAGCCUCGAGCAAUUCACUUGGUUUGCCCAAUCAUCCAUGCCCAGAGCUGCUGGCUCUAACAUACACCUGUGCAGUCCUUCUCUCCAUAAGCUUUGAGCUGAUAUCCCAAGGUAAGACCAUUCCCCUCACAAAACAGGUAUGAACCACGGGAACAACUGGAAGUUUGCACCUGGACCCAUUAUACAAACUCUGUGUGCACACUCUACUCCCAAAGACACUACCCUUUUCACUGUGCUGUUUGCAUGGUAUGGCCAUUGCUUACUAGAAGCAUCCAGACUCACUUAUGUGGCAGGAAGAAAUACUAAGUACACACACACGCAUGCACACACACCCAUGUACAAACACAGAGGCACACACACACCCCAGGAGCUUAUCUGGACUCCUGCUAGGGCUGGCAAUGGUGGGAGCAGAAAAGACAUCAUUGUUGCUGCUUCUCGGGUCCUCUGCGCUGGCAGACCCUGGUUGCUUUGCUGACUUCACUGUGGAGAGUGAGGGCUUGGAGCGCCCUAGUCUGCAGUUUGCUGUCCAGCGCCCUGUGCUUUAUUCAGUCCACUCUACCCUCUCUCCUCAAUGCACAGUCACCAUUAAAAAUAAGAAUGGACACACAUUGAUUUCAAUUUUCAAACUUGAACAAAGUUUAAGAACAGAGAGAAAUUGGGUUAUUGUGAAGAAGGUAGUGAGGAAAUUUUAUUUAUCUUUUUUGCAGCUACCAAAAUGUUCAAAUAUAGUCUAUAAAAGCUUAAUAUUUUUUAAAACUAGGAAAAGUAAAUAAUCCCUCAUUACUCCUUCUUGCCCAUCACCAUCUCUGCCCCAGCUUGUGUCACAGUGGGCUCACCUGACGACAUGCCUGUUCUCCUGGUUUGGAGACUUCUUUCACACUCAUCACUAUCCUCUAUGCUCACUACACACCUGAGGCCACUGUAGCCAUCCACAUGGUAAAUCAGGGGAUUUUUCUCUAGUGAGCCUGAGGGUUUGUUUUUUUUUCUUCUAAUAGAAACCUCUCCCAUCUGUCCUCUAAAGUCACAACCUUUAUGGAUCCUGUAACAAGUGGGUGUGAAUGACAGAAAGAGGCUGUUUCCAUAUCAGUCUCUGAGCUGCCAUAUGCCUAACAGAGUGGUGGAUGUUACUGGCAUUAAUAUUUCCUGGGUGGUGUUAGAAGAUCCAGGCUGAAAGGAGAAACCAGACAAUUUGGCAAGACACAGAUCAAACCAGGAGCCAGAGCAAGUCCCUCUCAUUGUUUCAAGGUCAAGAACUCAGCCACCACUGUCCUUCUCUGCAUCCUCAUGCAGGACGGUUGAAACUGACCAGAUAAAGCUGAGGAGAUGGAAAGAAGUCAUGAGAUCCAAGCCUCUAAAGCCCUGCUAGAUACUCCAGGCAUAAGUCCCCAACCACUCACCUGGGUGUGACCCCUCCUACCAAACCACAGGCAUGCAGAGAUAUGGGGAACCCUCCUUUCUGGGGUCAAAGCAGUAUGGGCUACUCGCCACAUAAACAACGUAGUAAUAUUUCCAUUUUACGCAGAAAAAAAAUGAAA